rnacentral:rRNA from 1 species
AUUGAACGCUGGCGGCAGGCCUAACACAUGCAAGUCGAGCGGAUGAAGGGAGCUUGCUCCUGGAUUCAGCGGCGGACGGGUGAGUAAUGCCUAGGAAUCUGCCUGGUAGUGGGGGAUAACGUCCGGAAACGGGCGCUAAUACCGCAUACGUCCUGAGGGAGAAAGUGGGGGAUCUUCGGACCUCACGCUAUCAGAUGAGCCUAGGUCGGUUUAGCUAGUUGGUGGGGUAAAGGCCUACCAAGGCGACGAUCCGUAACUGGUCUGAGAGGAUGAUCAGUCACACUGGAACUGAGACACGGUCCAGACUCCUACGGGAGGCAGCAGUGGGGAAUAUUGGACAAUGGGCGAAAGCCUGAUCCAGCCAUGCCGCGUGUGUGAAGAAGGUCUUCGGAUUGUAAAGCACUUUAAGUUGGGAGGAAGGGCAGUAAGUUAAUACCUUGCUGUUUUGACGUUACCAACAGAAUAAGCACCGGCUAACUUCGUGC